AGUGAACGCUGGCGGCGGGCCUAAUACAUGCAAGUCGAACGGCAGCACAGCAGAGCUUGCUCUGUGGUGGCGAGUGGCGGACGGGUGAGGAAUACAUGGGAAUCUGCCCAGUCGUGGGGGAUAACGUAGGGAAACUUACGCUAAUACCGCAUGCGCCCUUCGGGGGAAAGCCGGGGACCUUCGGGCCUGGCGCGAUUGGAUGAGCCCAUGUCGGAUUAGCUAGUUGGCGGGGUAAUGGCCCACCAAGGCGACGAUCCGUAGCUGGUCUGAGAGGAUGAUCAGCCACACUGGAACUGAGACACGGUCCAGACUCCUACGGGAGACAGCAGUAGGGAAUAUUGGACAAUGGGCGCAAGCCUGAUCCAGCCAUGCCGCGUGAGUGAAGAAGGCCCUCGGGUUGUAAAGCUCUUUUGUCCGGAAAG
rnacentral:rRNA from 1 species